rnacentral:misc_RNA from 1 species
AAUUCUCAACUUCAAAAUUGUUUUGUUUUGAAGCUUGGAUAUUGGAGGUCUUUGCAGGCACACAUUAGAGUGUCAGCUCCUCUUAAAUGCAUUAGCAGAACUUUGUACGUUCGGCUCUGGUUUGAUAAUCCUAUCUAUGCCAUUGCUGAGAGGUCAAUAGAUCAGCUUCUAAUUGUCCAUGUAUUUGGACUGUCUCCUUCGAGGCAUCAUCAUG